GGAAAAGUUGCUAUAGGUAAGGUAAGCCAUUUGCUAAAUGGUAUCUUUUUAGAUUUAGGUGUUCGAGUCACCUUUUUUCCGC
rnacentral:tRNA from 1 species